GUGAGGAAUAUUGCGCAAUGGAGGCAACUCUGACGCAGCCAUGCCGCGUGCAGGAAGAAGGCGCUACGCGUUGUAAACUGCUUUUAACCGGGAAGAAACCCCAGGACGUGUCCUGGGUUGACGGUACCGGAGGAAUAAGCACCGACUAACUUCGUGCCAGCAGCCGCGGUAAUACGAAGGGUGCAAGCGUUAUCCGGAUUCAUUGGGUUUAAAGUGUGCGUAGGCGGAGCGUUAAGUCAGUGGUGAAAUCCUGCAGCUUAACUGUAGACUUGCCAUUGAUACUGGCGCUCUUGAGUGCGCUUGAAGUGGGCGGAAUGUGCCGUGUAGCGGUGAAAUGCUUAGAUAUGGCACAGAACACCAAUUGCGAAGGCAGCUCACUAAGGCGAUACUGACGCUGAGGCACGAAAGCGUGGGGAUCGAACAGGAUUAGAAACCCGUGUAGUCC
rnacentral:rRNA from 1 species